rnacentral:rRNA from 1 species
GAUGAACGCUGGCGGCGUGCCUAAUACAUGCCAGUCGAGCGAACGGACGAGAAGCUUGCUUCUCUGAUGUUAGCGGCGGACGGGUGAGUAACACGUGGAUAACCUACCUAUAAGACUGGGAUAACUUCGGGAAACCGGAGCUAAUCCCGGAUAAUAUUUUGAACCGCAUGGUUCAAACAUGAAAGACGGUCUUGCUGUCACUUCUCGAUGGAUCCGCGCUGCAUUAGCUAGUUGGUAAGGUAACGGAUUACCAAGGCAACGAUGCAUAGCCGACCUGCGCGGGUGAUCCGCCACACUGGAACUGAGACACGGUCCAGACUCCUACGGUAGGCAGCAGUAGGGAAUCUUCCGCAAUGGGCGAAAGCAUGACGUAGCAACGCCGCGUGAGUGAUAAUGGUCUUCGGAUCGUAAACCUCUGUUAGUAGGGAAGAACAUAUGUGUAAGUAACUGUGCACAUCUUGACGGUACCUAAUCAGAAAGCCACGGCUAACUACGUG